UGCCGGUGUGGCGGAAUUGGCAGACGCGCUGGACUCAAAAUCCUGUGUCCUUACGGACGUGCCGGUUCGACCCCGGCCACCGGUAUC
rnacentral:tRNA from 1 species